GCGGCGGACGGGUGAGUAACACGUGGGCAACCUGCCUGUAAGACUGGGAUAACUUCGGGAAACCGGAGCUAAUACCGGAUAAUCCUUUCCUCCGCAUGGAGGAAAGCUGAAAGACGGUUUCGGCUGUCACUUACAGAUGGGCCCGCGGCGCAUUAGCUAGUUGGUGAGGUAACGGCUCACCAAGGCAACGAUGCGUAGCCGACCUGAGAGGGUGAUCGGCCACACUGGGACUGAGACACGGCCCAGACUCCUACGGGAGGCAGCAGUAGGGAAUCUUCCGCAAUGGACGAAAGUCUGACGGAGCAACGCCGCGUGAGCGAAGAAGGCCUUCGGGUCGUAAAGCUCUGUUGUCAGGGAAGAACAAGUACCGGAGUAACUGCCGGUACCUUGACGGUACCUGACCAGAAAGCCACGGCUAACUACGUGCCAGCAGCCGCGGUAAUACGUAGGUGGCAAGCGUUGUCCGGAAUUAUUGGGCGUAAAGCGCGCGCAGGCGGUCCUUUAAGUCUGAUGUGAAAGCCCACGGCUCAACCGUGGAGGGUCAUUGGAAACUGGGGGACUUGAGUGCAGAAGAGGAGAGCGGAAUUCCACGUGUAGCGGUGAAAU
rnacentral:rRNA from 1 species